CAAAUCAUUGAAAACCAGUUCAUAAUAAAUAAUAGCCUAGUUCAGGAAAAUCAGCAGAUUGCAUGGAAUUUUGACUUUGAUCCAAUC